UGCAAGUUGGAUCACCCUGAGCUAACCAGCUAGCUUAACCACUAAUAUAAUUCAACGAUAUUCAUAACAGAACAAGACCUGACACCACGAACUAAACCAUUUUUUUACCUGAGUAUGGGAGACAGAAAAGGUUCAACCCAAAGCGAUAGAGAAAGUACCGCAAGGAAAGCUGAAAGAGAAAUGAAACAACCCAUAUAAGCACUGGAAAACAAAGGCUAGACCUUGUACCUUUUGCAUCAUGAUUUAGCCAGUACCCUCAAGCGAAGAGACCUUUAGUUUGACACCCCGAAACCAGGUGAGCUACCCCGAGACAGCCUAUGUUAAUUUAGGGCUAACCCGUCUCUGUGGCAAAAGAGUGGGAAGAGCUCCGGGUAGAAGUGACAGACCUACCGAACCUGGUGAUAGCUGGUUGCCUGAGAUAUGAAUAGAAGUUCAGCCUCGCACACCCCAAAUCAAGGAAGAUAUCAUCAAGAUACUAUGGGAAAAAUACGAGAGUUAGUUGAAGGGGGUACAGCCCCUUUAACAAAGGAUACAACCUUCACAGGAGGAUAAAGAGCAUAAUACAUAAGACACCCUGUUCUAGUGGGCCUGAAAGCAGCCACCUAAGCAGAAAGCGUUAAAGCUCAGACAGAAAGAAAUUUAUUAUACCGUUAAAAAAUCUUACUCCCCUAAAUUUAUCAGGCCGACCCAUGCCCACAUGGUGAGACUAUGCUAAAAUGAGUAACAAGAAGACCAGAUCUUCUCCCGUCACAAGUGUAGGCCAGAUCGGACUAACCACUGGAAUUUAACGAGCCCAACCCAAGAGCCCAGUGACUACGGGUUCAACGGCCGCGGUAUUUUGACCGUGCAAAGGUAGCGCAAUCACUUGUCUCUUAAAUGGAGACCUGUAUGAAUGGCUAGACGAGGGCUUAACUGUCUCCCCCUUCCAGUCAGUGAAAUUGAUCUAUCCGUGCAGAAGCGGGUAUAAUAGUACAAGACGAGAAGACCCUUUGGAGCUUAAGGUACAAGCUUCAGCCACGUUAAACAACUCUAUAGAAAGCAAGAACUUAGUGGCCAUGAAAUUUUACCUUCGGUUGGGGCGACCACGGAGGAAAACUAAGCCUCCGAGUGGAUUGGGCCAAAACCCCUAAAGCCAAGAGGAACAUCUUUAGGCCGCAGAACAUCUGACCAAUAGUGAUCCGGCUGAGAAGCCGAUCAGCGAACCAAGUUACCCUAGGGAUAACAGCGCAAUCCUCUCCCAGAGCCCAUAUCGACGAGGGGGUUUACGACCUCGAUGUUGGAUCAGGACAUCCUAAUGGUGCAGCAGCUAUUAAGGGUUCGUUUGUUCAACGAUUAAAGUCCUACGUGAUCUGAGUUCAGACCGGAGCAAUCCAGGUCAGUUUCUAUCUGUAACGCUACUUUUCCUAGUACGAAAGGAUCGGAAAAAGGGGGCCUAUGCUUAGAGCAUGCCCCGCCCCUAAUUGAUGAAAACAAAUAAAUUAAGUAAAGGGAGGGCCAAGCCCUGCCGCCCGAGAUAAGGGCA
rnacentral:rRNA from 1 species